GUGAAAGAUUUUUAUGAGGUGCUUGGCGUCAAUCGGAAUGCAACUGCAUCUGAAAUCAAGAAAGCUUAUUAUGGGCUUGCAAAGCGACUGCAUCCAGAUAUGAACAAAGAUGAUCCAGAUGCUGAAAAAAAGUUUCAGGAAGUUCAAAAGGCUUAUGAGGUUCUGAAGGAUGAGAAAGCACGUGAACAAUAUGAUCAGCUUGGGCAUGAUGC